ensembl:lncRNA
UUUGGGCUAAUAAGGCACCUGUAACAGUUGUUCGGAGGAUUUUACUCAAGCUUAGGUCAAGUACUGUUGACUUCACUGUACCAGAUUGGAGAAGUUGUGUCAAGCAUUUUUGAUGCUAAAUUUCAUAUAAUUGCUACUAGAUUUCACAUCACUGCCGAGUCGGUUUCAGAUGAAGUCAAGUGACGAGCACGUGAGACCCGGUGAUGUCGGGAUUCUGGAUUCUCCUGGUCUGAAACAGAAAUUUCAAAAAAGAAAAAGAAAAAAAAAAUCGGCCACACUUUAGAAAUACACUGAAAAGCCGUGAGGUUGGUCCUCAGUAAAAGUAGCACAUUAUUUAACAUUUGAUUGGGCCCCGUCUCUUACGGUGUGCAUAUAAGCCUAAACUACAUGGUUCUUGUUUGUAGCUGUUGUUGCCAGGAUGGCAAUAUUGCUGCAUGCUAGUGCUAUAUUUGUCUCUACACAGCACGUGGAGGGUAAUCUCAUGCCUUAACAGACAAUGCACUAAAUAGAAAUAUGUAAGCAACUGCCGAGAUCUCUUUCCAACAGUAUUGCCACACGUAUGGCGCACAGCUCAUGAUGUUGGUGUUUGUUGUCUGUUCAGUACCAAAUAAACACUGCCAAACUAACAUCAUCACUUCUUUAACAGCAAAGGCAGAGACAUUAAUGAAAUCGUUUCAGUGUAACGUGUGUAUUCAGUAAUCUAGCAUUCCUUCAUGGCACCGAAAUUUUUACAUAUUUUGUGUAAACACGUAUAUCAAAUGCACUAUUGACUGUAGCUAGAUGAGUACAACCAGCUUUGUGGUAUCAUUGGUCUAAAUAGUAGGUUAAGUAGCUUGAUGUUGGUUUUUUUUUUUCUUCUCUCCUCCAAAUAUUUGAUUUCACAAGUUCACUAUCAAUCGUUUCUCUCUAUCACUUCUUUUGGAAUAACAAAAGUAGCCAAUCUCAACGUUAUCUGGAUGAGGGCUAAAUAACUCGUCCCGUCGUCAGUUGACUUCUUGUAUCAUAAGGUGUUUGAUAGCAGACCAGGCUCGGAAGGGGAAGCACCUUCUCUCCAGUGUGUCAUAACGUGCUUAGAGCAUACCCAGGCUUCCUCCCCCUCUGUCCCCUGUCGCGUUAGCAUCACACGCUCUUCACUGUCCAUAGUUAUAUAUUCCUUAUACUGCUUCAGAUACUCGUGGUGGUGCUUAAUUCUCUUUUCUCAGUGUUGCAAAAAAAACCCCAGAAAACCCCAAGUCGGUUAAAAAUUGUUGAAAAGUUGCAACAUUAUCCAGAAAAAAAAAAGUCCUUAUCUCAAUCGUGCUUCUUCUAGUUGUUAGACUAGACUUUAUGUUUGCAAAGUGUACGCAUAUUUUCCUGAACAAAACAUAUUGAAAAGUAGAUACUAGUCUUGAGCCUGCAGCUGUUUGUAUUGUGUUUCAGAUAUAUUCCUGUUUAUGUUUUGUUUAUCGUAGUGUAGAGACACAGGGUCUACAGUACAUUGUUGUCCUUCUUGCAGUAAGUUUAAUUCAUUGUUAUACUUCUUUAUUUCGGAGUUCCUUCUGCUUUUUUCUGGUGGUCAUAGUGGUGUUGUUUAUACAUACAUAGCUUCGCGCGACUGAAUAAAGAAUAGUCGGUUAUUUUUCACAGUGUAUUAUAUAUAUAUGCAUAUACGCUUUGCAUUUAGUUGAAAACAAGGAAAUGGAAGAUAGUAAUGGUGAGGGUGAUACUGAGUAAGGAACAGGUUCAUUUUAUUCUGAUAAGCAUGUGUCUGUCUUCCUGUUUGUCUUUAAGUCUGUCUCCACACAUUUUAAGUCAGAUUUCUUUUAUUUAGGCACGAAUAAAGUCACAAAAGUAGAAAACACAUGAACGCAUUCAUAUAAUACUUAACAGCUUUAUUUUUUUCGUUGCUUUUUUGUCCUUCUACAGUACACAUAAGAAUGAAAUAGAUAACUUCUUACAAAUAAACUAUAUAUAUUUUAAGUAUCACCAUCUCCACACAGAUAAAGAAUACAUUUUCAGAUAGUUUGAUAAAAUUGCAGCUAGAAUAUACAAUACCUUGUGUGAUAUAGGGAGUACGCCUAUCAAGUGCCUAUCAGUACAUACAGCAACUAUACAGAAUAUUCAUAGUUUUUCUCUCCUACGUUGCACAAAUACAGAAUAUACACAGUGGACUAAUGAAAAAUAGACUAUUUAUACUAUUACUGCUAAAAACCUGGUGGUUGUGAGUGCAUAAGAGAACCCUUUAAAUACCUGAAAUGUUCUAUUCAUAUACAGUAAAGACUACAUCAGCUAGUUUUAUUUUUUAAACGUACAUGUAUACAGUUUGGAGGAUGAAAAGAUUUAAAAUGCAAUCACGCACGCCUUUGAUUGGUUGGUUUAAAUGGCAGUUGGAAAUUAAAUAUGAAAUCCUAAUACUGGAUAGCCAUUUUUUUUUCAUAUUUGCAAACAAGCCAUAUACUGUACUGUACUGUAUGUUUGGGGAGAAAGGGCAGUGGCAUUUUGUGAACAGCAGGGGGAGCCACACAUCAGCCAGAAGAGGUGAAGUUUAAACGAACAAAACAAAAACAAGUUGAAUCGUUGAAUAUUUUGGAUUCUCUUUGUUGGUCAUUAUGGCCGUUGCAUUUUUCAUAUUACAGUAACAUUUAUGGGAAUGCCAGUAGUUGCCUCCUCUGAGACUACAUGAAUGAAAUGGUUUGCAGUCUGUAGGAUCUGAAAGCUGCUUUAAGGUUCUUAGUUGGCUCCAAAGUACACUGUGUGCAAAUCACACCAGGCGUGCUUUGACCUUGAUGGCAGGCCCGUCCAAAUGCAAGCCAAUGCCCAAUUUCCCCACAAUGAUCAUUAAAGUUUUUAUCUUAUCUUACAGCCUUGUUAUUUAUGUGCAGCUUGGAAUCGUAAAGGGCAAGCAACGAGCAAUGUGGGUAAAAAAAAGAGAAAGGAAAAUGGUUAUUAAACAUUAGACUGGCCGGUUUUUAUCACCGCAAUUUGGAAAUAAAAAAUGAGAUGCCAAAUUGAAAGUUUUGGCUACAGAUAAACAGCUCUUCCCUGAACAGCGGUCUUUAGGUGCUUGGAUGAACAAAAACUAAGAGAGAAAUACGGCAGAAUGAAAAACCACAAAUCAAGUUUCAGGACCGAGUGGCUCUGAGAUAAAAGGUUUUGUGAUGGCUUAUUAUUUUGUCCCCUGUGGACUAAUUACCACAGUUUUCUCUCUAACCUUCUCCAGCCUAGUUACGGUGCCAAAUUUGGGGAGGAUGAGGGGAGACUUUAAAUUAUAAGAGUAAGAGGGAAGCAGACAAAUAUAAAGAAGAAAGAAAAAUUUCAUUUUUUUCUUAAAUGCAAAACAUUUUAUAACAUUAAAUGCAGCAGGCCAAAAGAAAGUGAUUGCCUUUAUUUUGAAUCUUUGAAUCCUCCAUAAUGCAUAGUUUUCAAUUAAAUUAGGAGAAAACAGCUAUGAUUAACAAAUAUACACUUAGUUUCAUAGACAUUUACUGUUAAAACAAAGCAUCACAAAUAUAGGCAAUGCGAUAUAGCUAGUCCCUGUCAUUCAACCGUCACACUAUGACAUCCUCAGAAACAGCAUCCAUUCUGUUUGAAAUUUAAGGGUUUUACAGACAUAAUGAAGCAGCUGUUCAGAUUUUCAAGUAGACACAGCUAUACUAAGCUAUUACAAUAUCUAGAUUAUAUUUACUAUUCUCCGAACAUGCAGUUAUUACUCUACCCCAGAUGUGUUGUUUUAAAAAUAAAACACCAUCUUCAGGUAACUACCAUCGAACAGUCCAAAUAAAGCAUGCAGUCCUGUCUACACAGCUUUUUUUUUUUUUUUUUUCCAGUGGGGGAGUACUUUGUUAUCGAGUCCCUCGAUAACACGCAUUCAGUAUCUUUUCUUUAUCACACUGAUGAGGGGACUUGGACUCUGAAGACUAAACACUGAGCCUCUUUGUGUUCUCAGUCACUCUAGUCUUUUUGGCUUAGUUCAGCUGGAUGAGACGAUUAGGUUGAAAAGUGUGCAGCAGCAUUAACUAAAAACAUGCAUUCCUGUUCAAGAGCAGCACAUUCCAACUCCUAGUCUGGCAUUCGUUUUCCACACUUAACUAUCCCAACAUUAAGAAUUCCCAGCACUUAAUCGUUUUUACAAAUCCGCCGAUCGUGUGGUAGCAAACAUUGCUUAUCACAAGUUUAGCAAACAUUUACAUUUCCCUAAAACUGAUCCCAUUUCAUUUUUAAAGAAAUUUCUUUUUAGAUCUCAUCUCGACAUUUAUUUCAAACUUUGCCAUGAGAUCACAAACCCUUAUAAGCUCUGACCACAGCUAACGCUUGUGCGGACUGGUUUUAUAGCCAGCAUAUACACUAUGCUAUCGUUCUGCCUCUCUCUGUGUAGGUCACUCUUUAAUAGUGCAGAGACAUUUAAAAAAAAAAGGAAAAAAAGUCGAGGUUCCUCGCCGUGAUGUUGGCCGUGGUCUCGGCCAACUCGUGGUCUGCCAUCACUGAAGACUUAGAUGAAAAAUUUCAGCACUGUAUCUUCACAAAAUGGGCAGGUAGGGGUAAUUAGCAAAACGGGGCCAUGGUAAUCAUUAGAAGUUAAAUAAAACAAACAAACAAACCAAAGAAAAGGUUAGGACAAUUUUAAGUUUUUGAAGAAAUUAAUAUUUCUUUAUAAUGUGUGUGGGGUUCCUACAAUUGGGCUAGAUUGCCACCGUUAUUAUUAUUAUUAUUAUUAUUACUAUUAUUAAUAUUAAUAUGAUUGAUUUUCUUUGUUUUUAAUCUCAUGGCAGGGUGCUUGUGAAAAUGCAUAUACGUUAUGUCACUUGUUUAUAGUUUUGUGGUUGUGUUAAUUUGCCUAUUGUAGACCAAAAUAGAUUUUCUUUUUUAAAAAUAAGAAAUGCAACAAAACAUAAAAAUGAAUCUGACACAAUAGCUGUGAUGUAAACUAUUGCAUGUUAAAACAUGUAUAAGAUUGUAAAUGUUGCAUUGUUCCUCUGGCAAAACAUAAUAAUCAUUGGUUAUGUCUUCUAUACACACAUUUAGCAAAUCAGUGUACACCUUUUCACCUUCGCAUUGGAUUGUGUUUAAUAUAUUUAAGGCUGUCCCUAGUAACUAAUCUGACAUUGUAACUUAAGAGUACAUUCAGCCAUUUAUACUUGAGAUGGACCAAGAUGUUAAGUUUGCACAUAUUUGUAAGUUGUUUAUUAAGCCAAAAAAGAAUGAAAAAAAAAAAUACACAACUUUAAGUCUCAGCAAUUCAAAUCUAGUUUAGGUGCUCGUCACCUAAUAACAAAUCGACCUUAAUGUUCGCUGAAAGAAGGCAACAAAGCCAGCCGUCACUGCGCAACAAAAGUAAAUUCAAACCAAACUAUAAGAUGGAUUUCAACAUCGCGAUGUGAUUAGGUAUUAUUUAUCAAAGUGAUUCAAAAAAAGAGUAUAUUUUUGUAAUAGCGAAUGUAAAUCAUUUGGCAACAAUUAGUUUUAUAACUAUGACGUCCAAAUCUGGGUAAAAUCUGCUGUAUUUGUUCAUCCUGUGUAUUCAAAAUAGGAAAUUGAAUUACUGUAAUUCAGGCAGGGUUUUUUUUUUAAAUCAAAACCUGGGCCGAUGAUAUUAACAUUUAAAAUCCAAAAUUACACGCACCCUUUUUAAAAAGCAGCUUAGGUUUGAUUUUGAUUUUUCUUCUUCUUCUUCCAUCCUGCUUUCAGGCUUUUUGCUGCCAUAUCAUGUACCUAGAUGCUUUUGUAAACAUGCACAUGAGUUGAAAUUUGAGAUGUGGUUAUAAAUAUGUGUAUAUUUUGUCAGGCUUUUUUUUUUUUGCCUAUGUUAGCUUUUGAUUUUACUAUUUCCCUUCAUAAAAAAAAGAAAAAAAAUGACAUCUCUUAUAUAGUUAUGAACUUGGCAGAAGUGGAGCUGUUGUAGUAAAGUUAGUUAACAUCACAACUAAGCAACCCUGAAAUAUAUGCUGCAGUAAUGUGUUCAGUUUGUUUUUGAUAAUUUAUGCUCCAAGUUGGUUUGUAUGUUGUUAUUAUUGUUGUUAUGAAACAAGCUUGUAUGAAAUGUAUUGACUGCUGUUUUGAAAUAGGGGAUAAAGUUUUUUUCUUUUCUUUUCUUUUUUUUUUUUAAAUGUAUGUGCAAGGAUGUUUUUAUAAUAUGAUUUGUCAAACACUGGACUGGAGUGAGUUUUCCAACAUUUCCAAGUUGAGAGAUGUAUUUGACAGACAUAACUGCACAGGCAACACCCGUUAGCACCGAUGUGAGCUGACAGACAAAGCACACCCUCCCCCCGCUGUACACGGGAGGGUGAGUAACAUGGCCGCCAUCCUCCCGAUCAAAAUAGGAGUUAUUUGGAUAUAAGGAGUUACCAUAUUUCCUUUUCGUGCUGGUUAAUUGCAUUCAGUAGGUGAUGGGUUAUAUAUAAAUAUAUAUAUAUGUAAUAGGAACUAUUUAUUAGGGAUGUCCUUCAAAAUUGUUGUUAUGGCAUAGACUGGUGACAGAUUUGUUUUUCUUUUCUGGAAAAGAAAAUUCAUAAAGGGAUACCACUUCACAGCUAAGUAGUUGUCACAAUCACCCGAUAUGUUCUUUCUACGGUAGAGCAGAUUUAACAGUUGCCUCUCAUUACACCUACCACCACUUCUCAAACCAGAUAAGAGAUUUGCACUAGACUGAUUUUGGUCUUAUUCUAUCAAAAGCAAUAUAAUUCACACGACACAUAUUUGAACCAUAGUAUGGGACGCUUGUCCCCACCAUGGGAAUGCUGAGUAAAUGGUGAUAUUUGACGUGUUUUACUUUGUUUUUUUUUUUGUAUUCAAAGGUACAGAAUUGGUUUUUUAAAUGCACAUGACAUCCAUAUAUUGCUGUUUGUAGCAGGGUUCUUUUUUUUCUCCCUUCGCCCCUUCCUUCUUCUUCUUCUUCUUCUUUUUUUAUGUUAAAUUUACCCAGCAGUACCCUGAGUAUUGGUGUCCAGAUUUGAGGGGCAUUAAAACUGUUGUUUCCUCCUGUGAUUGUUUUGGACAAAUCAAGCAGCUCUUACAGAUCCGAAGUGAGAGUAGGGAUGUUAUGAGGGAUGGAAUCGUUCACCACGAGUCAGUCGUCUUCAUCACACAGCCGACAUGUUUAGAAAUAAACACAAAUGCCAAAAGAGAAACCCAGCUGUCCACCGUCGUGCACACCUUUCCCUUAAAAACUUUGAGUGAUAUUUUUCUGGGAUGUUACAGAAAAAAAAUGCUUUAAAACGAAACAAUAAUGAAAAAAAAUCCAAAAUGCAUCUCUCUUUUUUUUUUUUUUGUUCUUCUUUUCGUCGACGAACGCACCAUCAUUGGCUGCUUAUGUAGAGAAGCCACCAAAAUGUAUCAUACGUCAUUUUCAAUUAGGGUCAUUUACCGACAGCAUUAGCGAUCGACCCGAACGUCACUAUAUUUUUCUGAUAAAUAAGUGUAAAUUUUUCAAAAAUUCACAAAGAGCAAAAUGUCACCAUUUUAUCUGGAUGUAGUAGCUUUCCUGUUUUCACCGCUUUGUGGUGUUGUUGAAAGAUGUUGCGGUUUGUCUAAAUUUGUUGCGUGUUAGAGGAAGCAUAAGUAUGUGCCUUCUUGUAAUCUCCUUGGUGAGCUUGUUAUUAUUGAGAAGCUGAAGCCAGCCAAUUGUGUUUGCACUAAAACCAAAUUGCUUUUUGUGAUGUAGACUAUUUAAGCAAGCUUGUUGCGUCACUUUAACCGUACAGUAUGCAUGAGGGUGAAAUUGGUAAGUCUAGGGCUAGAGCUCUCAUCUGUUGACCUGUAAACCAGUGCAGCUUAGAGGAUCUUGUGAAUAUAUCUUGGCUUAGUUUCGCAUUUAGUUUUCAAAUUCCAUCUCCUUACUCAUCCAGUUUUUCACAACAGUUAAAGGUAAAACGAAACAAAAACAGAAAAAACAACACAAAAAAAAAUCAAAUAACACAUACCAUUGUACCGAUACAAUACAGCUUUUACUUUCACAUGCCACAGUUAGAGUUACACAACUGCAGAAGAGAUAUUCAUUUUUCUGAAUCCAUGGGAACGCAUGAGUAUACGAGGUCGCCUCGAGACUAUUGGUCAAAUUCAUUUAGGUCGUUUUUGAAGACUUGUAUUUAUUACAUAUUUCGUUGACAUCUAAGAAAGGCCUACAUCAUGCUUUUGAGUCUUACAAAUGCACCUUAUUCAUGUCAGUCCAUGUGGGGAAAAAAAAGGAAAAAAAAAAGGCUGGCAGUGUAAUAUCUCUGAUUUUAGCACCUUACUACACAGCAUGUUUUCACUUUAUGCCAGUUUAACUAUUCUUCCAUAUGUAUGAUUUCAAAAAUAAAUCUCAUUCUUUGUGAAAUUGUUUCAUGGGAUGUGCCAAAGUUUGGAGGCGAUCUCCCAAGUGUUUAUGCUUAUCAUAUUUUUUUUUUCUCCUCCUCCUUCAGUUAUAGCAAGGGUAUGUCAGAACUUUCCUAUAACAGUGUGUGGAAUCAAUUUAUCUCAGCAAACAGUAUCAUUACUUGCCAUUUUACAAUAAGCCCUGUAUUUCACAUAUAUUUACCAGUGAUGUGUAUUUGUUAUUAUAAAGAAAAUAGCCGUAAAAGCUUCAUUAUGUUACAUAAUAUUGUGACUUUUUUCGAAAAACUGUGAAGACUUAUCUUGCAUAUACUUUAUACAGAAGUAUUAAGCCUUAAUACAAAAGACUAAAAAAAGUGUGGAAGAAUAAACUGAUUGUUGCUAAGUAAGGAUGAUUUUUGUAAAUGUUACCAGCACUUUUUUUGUAAUUUUCACUCUCUGAGGUAUUGUACAAGUUCAAGCUGUUUGUGAAGUUUGAUUAUGAAGGAAUAAAAACUAGUACUUUCCUGUACUUCACAGAAAGUCUUGUUGCUGUUUUCUUUUUGUGCUCUUUUAUCUUUGGACAUUUUCAUGUGAAUUAAUGCCUGUGUAGUAAUAAUAAUAAUGAUAAUAAUAGGACUCACAUUUCCCAGCUGCGCUGCCACAAAGUACUAACAUCCAGUUAAUCCUUAAAACCAGAUAGACAUAUAGAUGAAAUGCUCGGAGUCAAUUUAUUCGAA